UCACCCAAACCGAGAGGAAGAUGCCCGUUGACAAAAUCUCUCAGCUGAGCCAACUCAAGGCAAUUCCACAAUUGCAGGUCCUGGAAGUAGCCGUGUGGAUCAAGAUUUUCACCUCGUCUGGUCGGAUUCGUUUGAUGUCCACAUCGUCAAUGUAAAUGUGGCCUUUGGUCGUUUGUAGAACACCGAAAAGGGACAGCCCCAGGGAUGAUUUGCCACUGCCGGUGCGACCACAGAUGCCAAUCUAUAAACCGAUUACGAACGGAUUGAAUAGUUAAAUUUUAACGAGUUUUGAAUGUUAUGGAAUCAAUAGGAUUUUCCAAAAUUAAACAAAAUCAACUUUAGUUAUGUAAAAACCAACACUACUUUACCCUUCGUACAUAUAUAACUUUUUGAAGCAGGUGGGCUCAUUUUUAUAAAAUUAGUCCUUGCAUAUGAAAGGAGACCUUUUUGCAUCAUCAAUCAACAUUUCUGCAUACUCGUUGGCCCAGAACAAUUAAAACCUAUUAAACGCUAUGGCAAAUUUCAUGAAAGCCAACAAUUCGCGUUGCAGCUUUGCUUUGUCCCAGUUUUUUGAUUUAUUAUCUUAUCAA